UACGUAGGGGGCAAGCGUUGUCCGGAAUUAUUGGGCGUAAAGCGCGCGCAGGCGGUUCUUUAAGUCUGGUGUCUAAGUGCGGGGCUCAACCCCGUGAUGCACUGGAAACUGGGGAACUUGAGUGCGGAAGAGGAGAGCGGAAUUCCACGUGUAGCGGUGAAAUGCGUAGAGAUGUGGAGGAACACCAGUGGCGAAGGCGGCCUUCUGGACCAAUACUGACGCUCAUGCACGAAAGCGUGGGGAGCAAACAGG
rnacentral:rRNA from 1 species